GAUGAACGCUGGCGGCGUGCCUAAUACAUGCAAGUCGAGCGAACAGAUAAGGAGCUUGCUCCUUUGACGUUAGCGGCGGACGGGUGAGUAACACGUGGGUAACCUACCUAUAAGACUGGGAUAACUUCGGGAAACCGGAGCUAAUACCGGAUAACAUUUGGAACCGCAUGGUUCUAAAGUGAAAGAUGGUUUUGCUAUCACUUAUAGAUGGACCCGCGCCGUAUUAGCUAGUUGGUAAGGUAACGGCUUACCAAGGCGACGAUACGUAGCCGACCUGAGAGGGUGAUCGGCCACACUGGAACUGAGACACGGUCCAGACUCCUACGGGAGGCAGCAGCAGGGAAUCUUCCGCAAUGGGCGAAAGCCUGACGGAGCAACGCCGCGUGAGUGAUGAAGGGUUUCGGCUCGUAAAACUCUGUUAUUAGGGAAGAACAAACGUGUAAGUAACUGUGCACGUCUUGACGGUACCUAAUCAGAAAGCCACGGCUAACUACGUG
rnacentral:rRNA from 1 species